GAGCUAUUCAGCUAGCUAGCUGUUCUCUAGACAGGGAGAUAUGAGCUAUUCAGCUAGCUAGCUGUUCUCUAGACAGGGAGAUAUGAGCUAUUCAGCUAGCUAGCUGUUCUCUACAGGGAGAUAUGAGAUAUUCAGCUAGCUAGCUGUCCUCUACAGGGAGAUAUGAGAUAUUCAGCUAGCUGAUAUUCUGAACAUGAAGAGACCCUCCCCUGCUUUACAGUCCUAAAAGUCUUAUAGACCUGGAGCACUGAGAUGCAUCCAAUCAGGGCAAUGAGUUCCUGUCUCUGUCCCAAAUGGAACCCUA
rnacentral:lncRNA from 1 species